rnacentral:misc_RNA from 1 species
UAGAGACCUUAUGAGACUUGAAACAAGACAACCAGUCUAGCAACCAUUGAGAAAAAAAGGCACACUGGUCUUUUGAUCAAAUCUAAGGCAGAGAAAGGAAGCAUACCAGAUUCAUUGAGACCAAUAGCAGGGAUGGCGGCAGAGCUAUAGUAAAAGAAGCCGCGGGAAGCAAAGGCACCAAUAAAUAGCUACAUGGAUCGCAUAGAAGCUUUAAGAGAUAGGGGGCCAUCCACCGAAGAUGGAAGCGGGAAAGACGGGAGCACAAACGAGGUAGCUUAUGCUUUUUUUCAUCCUCACUAUUUGGUUUAUAGUCGAAUCUGGAG